GAAGGCACACCCGGAGAACUGAAACAUCUUAGUACCCGGAGGAAGAGAAAGAAAAUUCGAUUCCCUUAGUAGCGGCGAGCGAAACGGGAAGAGCCCAAACCAACAAGCUUGCUUGUUGGGGUUGUAGGACACUCUAUACGGAGUUACAAAGGACGACAUUAGACGAAUCAUCUGGAAAGAUGAAUCAAAGAAGGUAAUAAUCCUGUAGUCGAAAAUGUUGUCUCUCUUGAGUGGAUCCUGAGUACGACGGAGCACGUGAAAUUCCGUCGGAAUCUGGGAGGACCAUCUCCUAAGGCUAAAUACUCUCUAGUGACCGAUAGUGAACCAGUACCGUGAGGGAAAGGUGAAAAGCACCCCGGAAGGGGAGUGAAAUAGAACCUGAAACCGUGUGCUUACAAGUAGUCAGAGCCCGUUAAUGGGUGAUGGCGUGCCUUUUGUAGAAUGAACCGGCGAGUUACGAUUUGAUGCAAGGUUAAGCAGUAAAUGUGGAGCCGUAGCGAAAGCGAGUCUGAAUAGGGCGUUUAGUAUUUGGUCGUAGACCCGAAACCAGGUGAUCUACCCUUGGUCAGGUUGAAGUUCAGGUAACACUGAAUGGAGGACCGAACCGACUUACGUUGAAAAGUGAGCGGAUGAACUGAGGGUAGCGGAGAAAUUCCAAUCGAACCUGGAGAUAGCUGGUUCUCUCCGAAAUAGCUUUAGGGCUAGCCUCAAGUGAUGAUUAUUGGAGGUAGAGCACUGUUUGGACGAGGGGCCCCUCUCGGGUUACCGAAUUCAGACAAACUCCGAAUGCCAAUUAAUUUAACUUGGGAGUCAGAACAUGGGUGAUAAGGUCCGUGUUCGAAAGGGAAACAGCCCAGACCACCAGCUAAGGUCCCAAAAUAUAUGUUAAGUGGAAAAGGAUGUGGCGUUGCCCAGACAACUAGGAUGUUGGCUUAGAAGCAGCCAUCAUUUAAAGAGUGCGUAAUAGCUCACUAGUCGAGUGACACUGCGCCGAAAAUGUACCGGGGCUAAACAUAUUACCGAAGCUGUGGAUUGUCCUUUGGACAAUGGUAGGAGAGCGUUCUAAGGGCGUUGAAGCA
rnacentral:rRNA from 1 species